CCAAACGCACCCUAAGUGCACCACCUAUCGGAUGUGUACCUUCUCAACGAACGGUAAAAGGAGGCAUACAAAGAGAUUGUGACGAAAAACAAAACCAAGCAUCACAGUUGUUCAAUUCCAAGCUCUUUGUGGAGAUGGACCACCUUAACAAAAACCUGCUAAACUUGAGAGUGGUCUACAUUGACAUCUACAAUUCGCUACUCGAUCUAAUCAUAAACCCCGCUAAAUACGGGUUUGAAGUUGCGAAUAAAGGGUGUUGUGGUACUGGCACCAUUGAAGUAACAAAACUAUGCAACCAGCUCCAACCUGCAGGAGUCUGCAUAGAUGACUCUAAGUAUGUUUUCUGGGACAGCUACCAUCCAACCGAAAGAGCGUACAACAUCAUUGUGAAGCAGAUUCUAGACAAUUAUACCAGCCACUUCAUCUGAGACAAUUCAUUAUAUCUUUACAAAUGAAUAAAACCCUUCAAAUUCCCUGCUUGGAAUAACGAUUUGUAAA